rnacentral:rRNA from 1 species
UUUAUGGAGAGUUUGAUCCUGGCUCAGGAUGAACGCUGGCGGCGUGCCUAAUACAUGCAAGUCGAGCGAACGGACGAGAAGCUUGCUUCUCUGAUGUUAGCGGCGGACGGGUGAGUAACACGUGGAUAACCUACCUAUAAGACUGGGAUAACUUCGGGAAACCGGAGCUAAUACCGGAUAAUAUUUUGAACCGCAUGGUUCAAAAGUGAAAGACGGUCUUGCUGUCACUUAUAGAUGGAUCCGCGCUGCAUUAGCUAGUUGGUAAGGUAACGGCUUACCAAGGCAACGAUGCAUAGCCGACCUGAGAGGGUGAUCGGCCACACUGGAACUGAGACACGGUCCAGACUCCUACGGGAGGCAGCAGUAGGGAAUCUUCCGCAAUGGGCGAAAGCCUGACGGAGCAACGCCGCGUGAGUGAUGAAGGUCUUCGGAUCGUAAAACUC